UAGUCUGGCGGUUGAACGCCGGUCGGGUUGCUGUCGAAGAGAAUUGGUGGCAAAAGAUGCCACCGGAAACAGUGCGAUAAUGUCCUCCCGGUGCGACCAACGUCUCGCGGUUCCCAUGGCAAAGGAGUGUCGGCGUCGCCAAGAUCCAUCCGCCGAUCCCGACCCAACACGUGACGAUGCAAAACCGGAUUAACGAAACGAGACACCGAAGCAACGUUUCACGAUUCCGGCCGAAGAAAAGAAAGAAGCAACUGGCAACGGUAGAACGCUGGCAGGCUAAAGUUUCACCGUGGUGAUGAUGAGCCGGCGAGUUCGGGUUACCGGGCGGCUUCCCGGCCUGCUGCUGAGCACACAAAUACACACGCACACGAGGAACGCAUUAUAAAGUGCAAGUGAAGGCAUUCCAGGCGUGGGACCAGCAAACCAAACAGAGAUGCAUACGUAAUUGGACUCGUAAUGGAGAGGAAUUUACCGAAAUCACGGACCAGUGUAUUCUAUUACCCCUGGGAAAAAGCUAUUUUACGCCCCUUUAAAUUGCGCCCCCGGCGGACCAUGGUAUCUCCCAAAGGCUGGAUGAAUUUGCCAAAAAAAAAGCUUAUCGAGAGAUUUAUCCCGGAUAGAGAAAGGCAGAAAGGCUUCGUGAAAGUGCACGAUACAAAUGUCACAACCAACGGGCUGGAAAUUGAGGGUGGUAAAAAGAUCACCACCACCCCACUUAGAUGCUCCCGCACGCCCAAAUGACUCAUCCUCACUCUGCAAUCAAAUGUUUACUGCAAAUGCUACGGUUCUGAUGUCACCACCGCCCCCGUUUGGUGCUAAGCGCACUCUGCGUUCACUUUCGAUCGUUCACACCGCGGAAUUCUUGCGUUUAUUUUCGAUGCACUUCCCGCAUAGCGCGCGCUCCGGGUCUGACUAAAUGUCUUUGCACCUUACGCACCGUAUGCAUUACACUUGCACGUGGUGCUCGAUCAAACGGAUCGGAUUUCGGUGUCAAAUUGCAACACACCUCGAACCGACACGAUGAUGCGGACCGACGACCGGUCGCACGGCACGCACACGAAAACACACCCUUUGGUGUGCACAGACAGCACACAGAGCACCCCGAAAUCAAUCACCUGCGGAUGGGUACGGUUCUGAUCCGGUUUACAAUCUGUCCCCUCUGCUUCCCACCAGGACACACACGCACACACACACACACACGCUCACAACGGAACCGCGAAAUCUGAAACCCGAUCCGCCGACAUCGGAACACACGCAACCGCGAACCAGUAAACCAUUCAAACACCGAUGAUCGGAACACCAGCGGCAACAAAUCAUAGACGAACGAUCUUCACACAAACGGGUUUGGAUACCGACGUCAGCGCACUUGUUGGCGAUUGUGGUGUGGUGUGUUGCGGCUGGAAAAAAGAGUCACGGCUCCGGACGACACAGAACGGCACACGUACGCGCGCGCGGCCAGCUAGCUUCGUACUUAGACUCACGCGACUUACACCGCGGGCUCAAUGCGCUGUAGUUGGUCCGGCAGCAUGGUAUGCCGGAGGGUGAUACGAAAAGUGACCCGCGCCUGGUGCGCCUGGCGAUGAAAUUUUAUUCGAUAUUAGCACCUGGCGUAUACUCGACGCGAUUCGGCUAAUUUUCGACACCUUCUUCCAACCGGAAUCGGCGCGCAAAGUUAACCAUUUAAUUUCGUUCCGGUUUCCGGACUUGAGCAUCUUGUUUUUUGCAGACAAUGAUAAGCUGAAACCCUCCACCAGGCUCAAGUUGUUGCAUAAUUUAUCAUGUCGAAAAACCCGAAACGGACAGAGAGAGAGAGAGAGAGCGAGAGAGAUGUUCAGAGCUGGUUCGGUUAAAGACUUUAGUCUGUUGCUGAUAAGACGCGCUGUUGUGUGAAUGUUUCAUAUCUGUAACAUUUCUUUUUGUUGUUUCUUUUAUGUUCCAUGUGAGGGGAAGCCUAGGGGGGAACGAUAAUUGCGCCAAAUCGUCUACAAGUGUUUUUGAACCUCCCCGUAGCCCCCACACACACACACACACACCGAAAAACUCCGUGGCAAUUGGAAAUUUCGUAACCGCAUUUCACAACCGCGAUUCGGUCUUGUUUAUCGGGUCCGAUCCGGUUGUGUGUGUGUGUAUUUUCGAGUCCGGAAGUCUGGUUCGGUGAAGGAGCAUUAUCUUCCAGUGCACACAAAUUAAAAGUGAGCAAAUUUUUGGCGAUCGUUGUAAUUGCGAUCUGUGCUCGAUAGCUUCUCUUUAGGAGAGCGAUCAAUUACCGUCUGGCACACUCAGCGAUCUCUUCAAACAUAACGAGCUCAAUAAGCUGAUCGCGAGUGAGUGAAGUCAACACGCCCAACCUUCAAUCAACCGGACAUUUACACACGACCGGCGACACAAUGAUGUGACUUCAUCAAGAGCCGUGAGCAUGUGAUAUCAUCCGCCAUUGCAUAAUAAACUGCAACUCUCAAUACAUUUCCAUCUCAUUGACUGCAUAGUACGGAACUAAUGCGAGCGAGAGAGAGAGAACAGCCAAAAAAAGGUGUGAAAUGGACGCAUUUUUCCAGCCCAUUUCCACCUGCGGAUCGGUGGUGGUAAAUCAAAUUGUGCCACCACCGGUUUGAGGGGAGCGAACGCCGGUAGGUACAAUGAAUCGAAAUUGAAUACCAUUAAGCAGCACAAACCCUAAAUGGCCCAAAGAGAAGUGGGUCACCGACCAACCGGGUCAUGCACACCCGGUGGAGAGCAGCCGAUCUUGCGGGACGACCUAAACACCGCACAGGGAGAGGGGUGAGCAUUUUCCUUUGGGCAUGGGCCAUUACGAUUCUGAUGCCCCGUUGCACCUCAGAUGGGGUUCUCCGUGAUGGUCCGGGAACAAAAAAGAGGAACAGAAGGUGUGUAUGAAGUUGUUAUUAGUUGCUCCACAACAUUACUUCGAUCUGCCCGUGGUGGUCUCUCUCUCUCUCUCUCUCUCUCUCCCGUUUUCUUCACGUCCACCUGUGUGCUGCUGGCCCAGUCUUCGAGGGUGCGAGGUGAAUACACCGCUGCCGGUCAUGCGCCCAGACAAGGUACAGUUAAAUUGCACCCGACACCCGGGCUAUGGGUGCCAGCGGAUAGAGUGCAAGGGUUAGUAGAUCGUGAAAGAGAGCUGAACAUGAUGGUUUAGAUCAAUAUUUAGUCCUUUCAAUUCCGGCCGACAGCCGACCGAGGAACCUGAUGGCCGAUGAGGAAACCAAGUUCGACGAUUCUCAUCUACCUCCUCCAGCCAUCUGGUGUGAAGCCGAACCUGAAGAUGGGAGAAUUUCUGACCUUUAACUAGUACGCACACCAGACACCAUCCACAUCAUUACACCGGUUCGAACAAGCAAACGAUAAAAGUGCAAUUAAAAAGAGUGGAGAAACAUCAUUAACAAGGAAGAUGUAACAAAGCGAAAGAUAGGUAAAGAUAGCAGCAAGCUAACACUAACCCUAUCGAAAAUAAAGGCCCUAUUGCCAGCCAAACGAGAUGAGCCAAUCCGUCGCGCACGGCUUAAACUACCAGCCAGCCA